AAUGCCAGGGCAUGUGUCAGCAGAUCUGCACCUAUGAAUCUGGCUGACCUGUUACAUGUGCACUUGGCAGCUGAAGACAUCUGUGUUGGUCCCAUGUUCAUAUCUGCCCGCAUUGCUGAGAAAAAUGAUUUAUAUAUGCAAAUGAGCCUCUGGGAGCAACGGGGGC